UGCCAGCCGCCGCGGUAAGACGGAGGGUGCUAGCGUUGUUCGGAAUGACUGGGCGUAAAGGGCGCGUAGGCGGUUUUGUUAGUCAGGCGUGAAAGCCCCGGGCUCAACCCGGGAACUGCGUUUGAUACUGCAAGACUUGAGGACGGAAGAGGAAAGUGGAACUCCUAGUGUAGAGGUGAAAUUCGUAGAUAUUCGGAGGAACACCAGUGGCGAAGGCGGCUUUCUGGCCCGAGACUGACGCUGAUGCGCGAAGGCGUGGGUAGCAAACGGGAUUAGAUA
rnacentral:rRNA from 1 species